rnacentral:misc_RNA from 1 species
GUGAAUCAUCAAAUCUUUGAACGCAAAUUGCGCUUCCUGGCAUCCCGGUGAGUAUUCCUGGUUGAGGGUCAGAAUUAAUAAAAAAUCGGCUUAGUUACAAAUUGUGACGUUUCCGGAGUUUGGGCUAUCCUAAUAUUUUUGGUUAAGAGGCUUAAAAUUGACCUUUUUUUCGCAUUUUAAUCGUACAUAAAUUUUUUUUAUUCGUCUAUUCUUACUGCCAUAGUCUUAUUAGAUGCGAUCACAUCGUGUGGCUU